rnacentral:rRNA from 1 species
UACGUAGGGGGCUAGCGUUGUCCGGAAUCAUUGGGCGUAAAGCGCGUGUAGGCGGUCCGGUAAGUCCGCUGUGAAAGUCAAGGGCUCAACCCUUGAAUGCCGGUUGAUACUGUCGGGCUAGAGUCCGGAAGAGGCGAGUGGAAUUCCCGGUGUAGCGGUGAAAUGCGCAGAUAUCGGGAGGAACACCAAUGGCGAAGGCAGCUCGCUGGGACGGUGCUGACGCUGAGACGCGAAAGCGUGGGGAGCAAACAGG